rnacentral:rRNA from 1 species
AUUGAACGCUGGCGGCAUGCUUUACACAUGCAAGUCGAACGGCAGCGCGGGCUUCGGCCUGGCGGCUAGUGGCGAACGGGUGAGUAAUGCAUCGGAACGUUCCCAGUAGUGUGGGAUAGCCCGGCGAAAGCCGGAUUAAUACCGCAUACGACCUGAGGUUGAAAGCGGGGGACCGAAAGGCCUCGCGCUAUUGGAGCGGCCGAUGUCGGAUUAGCUAGUUGGUGGGGUAAAGGCUUACCAAGGCGACGAUCCGUAGCUGGUCUGAGAGGCCGACCAGCCACCCUGGGAGUGGGCAACGGCCCAGACUCCUACGGGAGGCAGCAGUGGGGAAUUUUGGACAAUGGGGGCAACCCUGCUCCAGCCAUGCCGCGAGCGGGAAGAGGGCCUUCGGGUGGUAAAACGCUUUUGUUCGGGAAGAAAUCGUCUGGGCUAAUACCCCCGGGGGAUGACGGUACCGGAAGAAUAAGCACCGGCUAACUACUUG